rnacentral:rRNA from 1 species
CCCGCCAAAAAGGCCCGGGGGCCUAUACAUGCCAGUCGACGAACUUCCGUUAAUUGAUUAGGAGGUGCUUGCACUGAAUGAGAUUUUAACAUGAAGUGAGUGGCGGACGGGUGAGUAACACGUGGGUAACCUGCCCAGAAGCAGGGGAUAACACCUGGAAACAGAUGCUAAUACCGUAUAACAGAGAAAACCGCCUGGUUUUCUUUUAAAAGAUGGCUCUGCUAUCACUUCUGGAUGGACCCGCGGCGCAUUAGCUAGUUGGUGAGGUAACGGCUCACCAAGGCGAUGAUGCGUAGCCGACCUGAGAGGGUAAUCGGCCACAUUGGGACUGAGACACGGCCCAGACUCCUACGGGAGGCAGCAGUAGGGAAUCUUCCACAAUGGACGCAAGUCUGAUGGAGCAACGCCGCGUGAGUGAAGAAGGGUUUCGGCUCGUAAAGCUCUGUUGUUAAAGAAGAACGUGGGUGAGAGUAACUGUUCACCCAGUGACGGUAUUUAACCAGAAAGCCACGGCUAACUACGUGCCAGCAGCCGCGGUAAUACGUAGGUGGCAAGCGUUAUCCGGAUUUAUUGGGCGUAAAGCGAGCGCAGGCGGUCUUUUAAGUCUAAUGUGAAAGCCUUCGGCUCAACCGAAGAAGUGCAUUGGAAACUGGGAGACUUGAGUGCAGAAGAGGACAGUGGAACUCCAUGUGUAGCGGUGAAAUGCGUAGAUAUAUGGAAGAACACCAGUGGCGAAGGCGGCUGUCUGGUCUGUAACUGACGCUGAGGCUCGAAAGCAUGGGUAGCGAACAGGAUUAGAUACCCUGGUAGUCCAUGCCGUAAACGAUGAUUACUAAGUGUUGGAGGGUUUCCGCCCUUCAGUGCUGCAGCUAACGCAUUAAGUAAUCCGCCUGGGGAGUACGACCGCAAGGUUGAAACUCAAAAGAAUUGACGGGGGCCCGCACAAGCGGUGGAGCAUGUGGGUUUAAUUCGAAGCUACGCGAAGAACCUUACCAGGUCUUGACAUCUUCUGCCACCUAGAGAUUAGGCGUUCCCUUUCGGGACAGAUGACAGUGUGCAUGAUGUCGUCAGCUCGUGUCGUGAGAUGUUGGGUUAAGUCCCGCACGAGCGCACCUAUACUAGUUGCCAGCAUUCAGUGGGCACUCUUAGUGGAGACUGCCGGUGACAACCCGAGAAGUGGGACCAAACGUCGAUCAUCAUGGCCGUUAUGACCUGGCUACACACGGGCGCUCACAUUGGAGUGUGUGUCCACACCACAAGU